rnacentral:tRNA from 1 species
AGGGAUGUAGCUCAGUUGGUAGAGCACUUGCCUAGCAUGCACAAGGCUCUGAGUUCAAGCCCCAGCACCACAU